CCUUUUAACCCAAUCUCUGAUGAACAACCUGCGUGCACUGUGAUGUUUUGGGCUGACCAGUAUAUUUACUCUCUUCACUCCUAUGUGUGUUGCCUCUGAAGAUGUGUGCUCCGUAUUCCAAGAUCAUUGUGAUGAAGGUUCUUGUGACACAGAGCUUCCUGGCUCUGUUCAAGUGUGGGAAGUCAGGAGAGGCCCAGUUCCUUUGGGGAAUGCAAUUCAUCUCCUAAAAGGAAGAUCCCCUUCCCCAGUUCUUUACAGCUCACUAGGACUCCUCAGAAGAACUAGACACAGGCUACUCCAAAGACAGCUGGCAAGGAACAUGACCACUCUCUCUCCAGAAAACAGCCUCUCUGCCAAGCAGUCAGCUUCCUUCAUCCUGGCAAAGAGAAACCCUCCCAUUGACAAGACGGAAUGGGACAGCUUCUUCGAUGAGAAUGGUCACUUGGCCAAAUCACGGGACUUCAUCUGUGUCAACAUUCUGGAAAGGGGUCUACAUCCCUUUGUAAGAACAGAAGCCUGGAAGCUCCUCACAGGCUACUACUCGUGGCAGAGUUCCCGGGAUGAUCGGCUCAUGGUGGACAGCAAGAGGAGGAGGAACUAUGAGGCCUUAUGUAAGAUGUAUGAGAAAAUUCAGCCCCUGCUGGAAAACUUGCACCAAAACUUCACAGAAACUCAAAACAACAUUGCAUAUGACAUCCAGAAACUCUACGACAAAGACCCGCUGGGCAAUGUGCUCAUAGAUAAGAAGAAGCUGGAAAAGAUCCUGCUCCUGAGUUAUGUCUGCAACACGCAGGCUGAGUACCAGCAAGGCUUCCACGAGAUGGUGAUGCUUUUCCAGAUAAUGGUGGAACAUGACUAUGAGACCUUCUGGCUCUUUCAGUUCUUUCUGCAGAAAACAGAGCACAGCUGUGUCAUCAACAUUGGGGUGGGCAAGAACCUUGACAUGCUAAGCAGCUUGAUCACUUUCCUGGACCCUGAUUUUGCUGAGCACCUCAAAGGGAAGGGCUCGGGGGCCGUGCAGUUCCUCUUCCCCUGGUUCUGCCUCUGCUUCCAGCGUGCUUUCAAAUCUUUCGAUGAUGUCUGGAGGCUCUGGGAGGUUGUCCCAGUCUUGGGCCACAGGGCCCUGGCUGAGGCCUGCUGAUUGCCCACAGGUCUUGCUUACAGGGAAGCCCUGCAGGAACUUUCAGGUGUUGGUGGCCUACAGCAUGUUGCAAAUGGUGCGUGAGCAGGCGCUAGUGGAGAGCAUGAGUGGUGAUGCCAUCCUCCUGGCCUGCAACAACCUCAUUGAUCUUGAUGCUGAUGAGCUGAUCUCCACUGCCUGCCUGGUUUAUGCUGAACUCAUGCAAAAGGAGGUUCCUCAGCCAUUAAAGGAUUUCUUUCUCUGAGGAUACUGACAUCCCCAAUGGACGCCUGGCCUGAAUAGAUUGGAUGAAGGUAGUUCUUCAGUCAUGGGGUCAGGAUUAAGUCCAGUGUGUGUUGGGGUGAGGGCACAGACAAUACAGCAUCAUGGAA